UACGGGGGGGGCAAGCGUUGUUCGGAAUUACUGGGCGUAAAGGGCUCGUAGGCGGCCAACUAAGUCGGAUGUGAAAUCCCUCGGCUUAACCGGGGAACUGCGUCUGAUACUGGAUGGCUAGAGUUUGGGAGAGGGAUGCGGAAUUCCAGGUGUAGCGGUGAAAUGCGUAGAUAUCUGGAGGAACACCGGUGGCGAAGGCGGCAUCCUGGACCAACACUGACGCUGAGGAGCGAAAGCCAGGGGAGCAAACGGG
rnacentral:rRNA from 1 species